GCAGUAGCCGCGGGAAUACGAAGGGGGCUAGCGUUGUUCGGAUUUACUGGGCGUAAAGCGCACGUAGGCGGAUCCUUAAGUCAGAGGUGAAAUCCCAAGGCUCAACCUUGGAACUGCCUUUGAUACUGGGGAUCUCGAGUUCGGGAGAGGUGAGUGGAACUGCGAGUGUAGAGGUGAAAUUCGUAGAUAUUCGCAAGAACACCAGUGGCGAAGGCGGCUCACUGGCCCGAUACUGACGCUGAGGUGCGAAAGCGUGGGGAGCAAACAGGAUUAGAUACCCCAGUAGUCCCUGUCUCUUAUAC
rnacentral:rRNA from 1 species